rnacentral:RNase_P_RNA from 1 species
GAAGCCUGCCAGACUGCCGCUGGUGCAAUUCUGGAAACAGAGCACUGGAGGAACGUCCGGACUGCAUAGGGCAGCGUAGCAGCUAACGGCUGUCCACUGAAAGCUCAAGCCGCAAGGCCUGGGUAUAAGGUGAGGAUCAGAGCAACAGAGACGAGUCGCACCGGGGCAACCUGUUGCGGGUGAAACGGGCAAUCUCUACGCGCAGCAAUACCAAGUAGGCCAGCGUUGAUGGGGCCCCCAGAGCUGGCGGGUAGGUAGCACCGAGCUGUUGGGUGACCAACAGCCCAGAUGAAUGGCAGUCACGCCUGAGGCAACUCAGGCGCACAGAAUCCGGCUUAUCGGCGGGCUUCACAC